rnacentral:rRNA from 1 species
GAUGAACGCUGGCGGCGUGCCUAAUACAUGCAAGUCGAGCGCUCAAGGGUGGUGCUUGUACCUACUGGGUGAGCAGCGAACGGGUGAGUAACGCGUGGGUAAUCUGCCUUUGAGCGGGGGACAACUUUUGGAAACGAAUGCUAAUACCGCAUAAAAACUUUAAACACAAGGUUUAAGAUUGAAAGAUGCAUUUGCAUCACUCAAAGGUGAUCCCCCGUUGUAUUAGCUAGUUUGUGAGGGAAAGGCUCAACAAGGCGGUGGUACCGAGCCGAACUGAAAGGGUGGAUGGCCCAAUUGGGAACGAGACACGGCACAAACUCCCACGGGAGGCAGCAAGAGGGAAAUUUCGGGCAUGGGGGAAAGUCCGAACGAGGAAAGCCGCGUGAGGGAAGAAGGGUCUCGGGUUGUAAAAACCCGUUGGUAGGGAAGAAAGUUGGUGAGAGUGGAAAGCGCAUCAAGUGACGGUACCUACCCAGAAAGCGACGGCUAACUACGUG